GACGAACGCUGGCGGCGUGCUUAACACAUGCAAGUCGAACGGAAAGGCCCUGCUUUUGUGGGGUGCUCGAGUGGCGAACGGGUGAGUAACACGUGAGUAACCUGCCCUUGACUUUGGGAUAACUUCAGGAAACUGGGGCUAAUACCGGAUAGGAGCUCCUGCUGCAUGGUGGGGGUUGGAAAGUUUCGGCGGUUGGGGAUGGACUCGCGGCUUAUCAGCUUGUUGGGGGGGUAGUGGCUUACCAAGGCUUUGACGGGUAGCCGGCCUGGGAGGGUGACCGGCCACAUUGGGACUGCGAUACGGCCCAGACUCCUACGGGAGGCAGCAGUGGGGAAUAUUGCACAAUGGGCGGAAGCCUGAUGCAGCAACGCCGCGUGCGGGAUGACGGCCUUCGGGUUGUAAACCGCUUUCGCCUGUGACGAAGCGUGAGUGACGGUAAUGGGUAAAGAAGCACCGGCUAACUACGUG
rnacentral:rRNA from 1 species